GGGUAUUUUAAAAGGAUGGAACAGAAAUGCUUACCACUUGAAAGGGUGGGGCAUAGAGUUUAAAAUGAUUACCACUAGAUGCCUCCUCUCCCAGUGCACAAACAGUCCCUAGCCUUAGACAUUAGCAAGAUGGUGAACCCAAAACACAAGGCGUUUUGCAUUCUUAAGUUUAGUAAGUCUGAAUUUGUGAUUGCAAAGCAGUGUGUGUGUAUGUGAGAAUGGUGUUUUGACAUUGAUCCGGCAAUGCGAAAGAGCAUUCGCCAUUGGUACCGACAAUUUGAGUUAACAGAAU